GGGUCUUUUUGUAGGUGAAGAUUGGCAUACCAUUUCAAACAGGUUAUGUAAUCAAUUUAGGUGCGAUGUGGUGGAAUUUUCAUCCAAAAUUUUUGAGAUCGGGUAGUUAUAUUUAUCUUAUUAGUUUUGAAACUAUCAUGGGGGUUCUUUGAAAUUUGAAACAAGGAUGGGAAUUGGGUUAGAUCGGCUUCUUUCACUGAGACUUCAGCAAGAUCCAAUAGGGAUAGGUGUCGAAAGAAAGAAGCAUUGGAGUUAACUACAUUCGAUAGAAUGAGACCAGUGAAGGCUAAAGCAUGCCUGCAGCUGAAGUCAGAGGUCAAGCAAUUGGGUGUUCAUUUCUCUACAAAUAUUGGAUAGACAUCAGAUAUCGAUUGUCAUGGAGAUUAAGAUAGACUUGAUACCGGAGUCGGGAUAAGGCUGAAGUUGGGACUGGCUGAUCCUAGGCAUUCUACUUAGGGAGCUCUGGGAGUUAAGGAUCGUUAGGAACCGAACUCAGAAUCAAGGGGUUCCAAGUUGUACGUUGGAUAACUUCAUAUGCUUCUUAUAGGAGAAACACAUUACUUCAAGGUUGUAUACUUCUAUUUCUGACCGUGCUAUGGCAUCUACCUUGCAUGUCAUAUCAUCUAUUCUUCUAUUAAUCUAUGUCUUCAGUCUAAAAGAUAAUUUUUUUUUUCCAACACAUACCCCUUACUCUUGAGUUUGAUGAGAAUGAAAGGUGUAUAUGAGUUCAAAUUUAUCGAAGACAUGCUGUUCUUACCACAAAAAUGGUGCUUGUGGUUCUUGGGUGAAAUGAAUGGUCACAUCAAUGAAGUAAUCUUGAUAGGGAGGUGAUUGAUGAAAUUUGAAAAGUGGUAUAUCUUGUUUCUCAUAUAAAUUAUUAAUGGACCGACUAGCAUCUUCUGCACGUCAAUAGAAUCAUGCCAAAUAUCAGUCAUUGGAUGAUUAGACAGGAUUUGGUAUUCCAACAGUUUUAAUCUUCAGUGCCUAUAAAAGAAGGUGGUGCUUGUUAACUGGCUGCAUUCUUCGCUGGCUGAGAGGUAGCAGCAGCGGUAGAUCAUCGGGAAGAUGCCUUGCAUGGGGCCAUAGUCUCAAUCUAUCGCUCCUUCUCACAGUUAUGUCAAGGGUCCCUUCUUAUAGCACUAAUCUGUUGUCGUUGAAAUCUGAGACUCGAUUGGAAAGGUUAGAGUGGUGGUGCAUCCUCCCAGAAGAGAAUCCUGCAAGGCAAGUCCUGACUGGAGUUGACUCCGGCAAGGAUCCUCUAACAUUCAAAUCAAAAAUCAAAAAGAUAGAUGAGGAAGAGCAGAGACUAUUCAUGUGCGUACCUUAGGAGGUCUCCUGAAGGUCUUUUUGUAGAUGAAUGUUGGAAGACCAUUUCAGAUAGGUUACGUGGCCGAUUUAGGUGCGAUGUGGUGGAAUUUUUAUCCGAUAUUUUCAAGAUUAGAUGGUUACACCUAUCUUAUCAGUUUCAAAACCAUCGUGAGGAUCUUUGAAAUUUUAAAUAAGGACACGAAUUGGGUUAGAUCGGCUUCUUUUGCUGAGACUUCGAUGAGAUUCGAUGGGGGUAGAUGCUGAAGGGAAGAAGUGGUUGGAGUCAACUAUGUUCAGUGGGAUG
rnacentral:lncRNA from 1 species